rnacentral:misc_RNA from 1 species
GCAAAAAGCCGGGGGCCUUUGAACAUCCUCAGACGGGGAGGUAACCGUAAGAGGCAGCCGCCUAAGGUGGGAUAGAUGAUUGGGGUGAAGUCGUAACAAGGUAGCCGUAUCGAAGGUGCGGCUGGAUCACCUCCUUUCUAAGGAUAAGGAACUGCGCAUUGGUCUUGUUUAGUCUUGAGAGGUCUUGUGGGGCCUUAGCUCAGCUGGGAGAGCGCCUGCUUUGCACGCAGGAGGUCAGCGGUUCGAUCCCGCUAGCUCCAUUGGUGAGAGAUCACCAAGUAAUGCACAUUGAAAAUUGAAUAUCUAUAUCAAAUAGUAACAAGAAAAUAAACCGAAAACGCUGUAGUAUUAAUAAGAGUUUAUGACUGAGAGGUCAGAAAAUAAGGUUAAGUUAAUAAGGGCGCACGGUGGAUGCCUUGGAACUAGGAGCCGACGAAGGACGUGACAACGACGAUAUGCCUUGGGUAGCUGUAGUAGCGAUGAUCCGGGAUUUCCGAGCGGGGAAACACACAAAAGGCCCGGGAACGUAUUCACAGGCCCGGGAACGUAUUCACAGGCCCGGGAAACAUAUUCACAGUCCCGGGAACAUAUUACACAGGCCCGGGAACGUAUACACAGGCCCAGGAACUGAUUGGCAGUGCUGUGUUCUUUUUUUAUUAGUAUGAGAGACAUGCGAGGACCCAGCUUUCGGUUUAUUAUUUGGUUUGAUGAGUAUCGGCGCGCUGCCGCGCAGGAG